GACGAACGCUGGCGGCGUGCUUAACACAUGCAAGUCGAACGGAAAGGCCCUGCUUUUGUGGGGUGCUCGAGUGGCGAACGGGUGAGUAACACGUGAGUAACCUGCCCUUGACUUUGGGAUAACUUCAGGAAACUGGGGCUAAUACCGGAUAGGAGCUCCUGCUGCAUGGUGGGGGUUGGAAAGUUUCGGCGGUUGGGGAUGAACUCGCGGCUUAUCAGCUUGUUGGUGGGGUAGUGGCUUACCAAGGCUUUGACGGGUAGCCGGCCUGAGAGGGUGACCGGCCACAUUGGGGCUGAGAUACGGCCCAGACGCCUACGGGAGGCAGCAGUGGGGAAUAUUGCACAAUGGGCGGAAGCCUGAUGCAGCAACGCCGCGUGCGGGAUGACGGCCUUCGGGUUGUAAACCGCUUUCGCCUGUGACGAAGCGUGAGUGACGGUAAUGGGUAAAGAAGCACCGGCUAACUACGUG
rnacentral:rRNA from 1 species